rnacentral:rRNA from 1 species
ACUCAAAGGAAUAGACGGGGGCCCGCACAAGCGGAGGAACAUGUGGUUUAAUUCGAUGAUACGCGAGGAACCUUACCCGGGCUUGAAAUGCGGACGACCGGCGGUGAGACCCGCCUUCCUUUCGGGGCGUCCGCGUAGGUGCUGCAUGGUUGUCGUCAGCUCGUGCCGUGAGGUGUCGGCUUAAGUGCCAUAACGAGCGCAACCCUCAUCGUUAGUUGCCAUCAGGUUAUGCUGGGGACUCUAGCGAGACUGCCAUCGUAAGGUGCGAGGAAGGUGGGGAUGACGUCAAAUCAGCACGGCCCUUAUGUCCGGGGCGACACACGUGUUACAAUGGGCGGUACAAAGGGUUGCCACCCGGUGACGGGGCGCCAAUCCCCAAAACCGCUCUCAGUUCGGAUCGGAGUCUGCAACUCGACUUCGUGAAGCUGGAUUCGCUAGUAAUCGCGCAUCAGCCACGGCGCGGUGAAUACGUUCCCGGGCCUUGCACACACCGCCCGU